rnacentral:tRNA from 1 species
GGAGAUGUAGCUUAGUAGGAGAGUGCUUGCCCAGCGUGUGUGAGGCCCUGGGUUCAAUCACCAGCACUCCA